rnacentral:rRNA from 1 species
UACGUAGGGGGCAAGCGUUGUCCGGAAUCAUUGGGCGUAAAGAGCGUGUAGGCGGUUCGGUAAGUCGGCUGUGAAAGUCCAGGGCUACAACCCUGGGAUGCCGGUCGAUACUGCCGGACUAGAGUUCGGAAGAGGCGAGUGGAAUUCCCGGUGUGAGCGGUGAAAUGCGCAGAUAUCGGGAGGAACACCUAUGGCGAAGGCAGCUCGCUGGGACGUUACUGACGCUGAGACGCGAAAGCGUGGGGAGCAAACAGG